UUGCCCCGAAAAUUGACUCCCGCACACAUUGUUUCCCAGCAAUGCACUUUCCCUUCGCCCCACAAAGAUUUACACCUACUGAAACCUCUCUCGGUAGGCAAUCUCGAGGAAAAAAAUUGGACUUAUUCGGGAGACUAUUUUUGUGGAGUGACACCAUACAUUCAGCGCAUUUCUUCUUCAAUGUCUUCUAGUGUUGCUGGACUUGGUGAAGAGAUCGCAAAGAUCAAAGCUCACCCACAAAUAAACAGGGAAAAAAAAAUGAAGUAGCAAUUCUUGGCAAGGGAAGCGGCGCAAUAGAACUUCCUUAGAUGCGUCAAUAUUUCUACUGUUGCAACUAGGACAGCCCAGCCCAUCCAGAGGAAAAAAAAAAAUACAUCUGAUCCUUACCAGGGGCAGGAAGUGAAUAGCCAGUGAAACACACUGUGAUAAUCAGAUUACUUUUCUUCCUUAGAAUCUGAUUUUGCAAACACUGGUUCAGGCUGGGUUUGUCAAUAUGCUGGAGCAAUGUACUUGG
rnacentral:misc_RNA from 1 species